rnacentral:rRNA from 1 species
GACGAACGCUGGCGGCGUGCUUAACACAUGCGAGUCGAACGGAAAGGCCCUGCUUUUGUGGGGUGCUCGAGUGGCGAACGGGUGAGUAACACGUGAGUAACCUGCCCUUGACUUUGGGAUAACUUCAGGAAACUGGGGCUAAUACCGGAUAGGAGCUCCUGCUGCAUGGUGGGGGUUGGAAAGUUUCGGCGGUUGGGGAUGGACUCGCGGCUUAUCAGCUUGUUGGUGGGGUAGUGGCUUACCAAGGCUUUGACGGGUAGCCGGCCUGAGAGGGUGACCGGCCCCAUUGGACCUGGGAUCCGCCCCAGCCCCCUACGGGAGGCAGCGGUGGGAAUAUUGCACAAUGGGCGGAAGCCUGAUGCAGCAACGCCGCGUGCGGGAUGACGGCCUUCGGGUUGUAAACCGCUUUCGCCUGUGACGAAGCGUGAGUGACGGUAAUGGGUAAAGAAGCACCGGCUAACUACGUG